GAUGAACGCUAGCGGCAGGCCUAAUACAUGCAAGUCGAACGGUGUCUUCGGACAUAGUGGCGCACGGGUGCGUAACACGUAUGCAACCUACCUUACAUUGGGGGAUAGCCUUUCGAAAGGGAGAUUAAUACCGCAUAAGACAGUAGCUGGGCAUCCAGCAGCUGUUAAAGAUUUAUCGAUGUAAGCUGGGCAUGCGUCCAAUUAGCUAGUUGGUGAGGUAACGGCUCACCAAGGCAAUGAUUGGUAGGGGAACUGAGAGGUCAAUCCCCCACACUGGAACUGAGAUACGGGCCAGACUCCUACGGGAGGCAGCAGUAGGGAAUAUUGGGCAACGGACGCAAGUCUGACCCAGCCAUGCCGCGUGCAGGAUGAAGGCGUUAUGCGUUGUAAACUGCUUUUAUACAGGAAGAAACGACUCUUGCGAGAGGCAUUGACGGUACUGUAUGAAUAAGCACCGGCUAACUCCGUGCCAGCAGCCGCGGUAAAAC
rnacentral:rRNA from 1 species